ACGUAUAUGGUGGCAUGUACAAUAAACUAGAAAUGAUGUGGAGAAGAUCAUCAGGGCCCCUGGGCAGAAAUGACAGACAGAUUUGUGAAAACUUACUUAUUUUU